AGUUUGGGAUAGCUGUUACCGCAUUUGUCAUUUAGCGCUCACUCACGUAACUUUCUUGUACAUUUCUGAAAUAGUUUCGCCAUCCCUCAUAAGACAGUCUCCCCAAGGCCCUCUUACCUGUUCCCACAUCAGCUCUCUUGGAGCAAAGAUUGUUUUAGCUACUUCCCCUAAUACAUUUCAAGUAUAAUUACAUGAUGAUCAAUAUGUUUUAGAUGCUCCACAACCUCAGAUAUAUUUUUUUAAUACUUGGCUCUCUUCCUGGAUUAGUCCAAAUCAGCUCUUGGCUGACACAAGAAGCCUCAAUAAACUGCAUUAAAAAUGAUUUUGAAUUUGUGAAAGGGCUCAAUGUCUGAAGAGCUGAUGCACACUUUAGAGAUGAACUCAUCCAUCUGAGCAUGGAGCAGUAGGUUGGCUUUGUGUUGCUUUGCAUUGGCAGCAAGCUGGGGAACAGUAAACAGAAACAUUAAUUCACAGCCUCGCUUCUGUUCCUCCCUAGUAACAGGUUUUUACAACAGACUUCCUGUGUCUGUAUUGAUUUUUCUGGAGUCAAAGAACAAAAAGAUAGAGCACGAGGACUCAUGUGACCAGCCUUUAAGCAGAUGCUGCUGUGAGCUCAUCCAACAGAACUCCAUUGUUGAGGCAUGAAAAGGUGAUCCCUGCCUUUUUUUCUUCCCCCGUAGAUUACCGCAGGCUUUUUUCCUUUGCAACUGAGCCCCCACUGAGCUAGAAGCACCGCAAGAAAGCUUGGCCUCAUGCAUAACACUACACAGCAUCAGAUGCUUUUUUGCCAUCUAUGGUGAAUGAUGCAGCUGCAUGGAGCAAAAUCCACAUUUCUGUACAUCUUUUGAAGAGCGUGAGUAUGUUUUCCACCACUUUGCUCUGUUCCCUCACCUGUAGAUAAUGAACUUUUUCCUAUGACCUCUCCUUAGAGGUCCUAAGAGGGAAAUGGAAAGAAAAUAAAUGAAAGCCAACACCUUUUGGCAUUCAGAAGAGCCUGUGAGAGGUCCAGGUAGAGCCAGCAUUGAAUCCACUCACUCCCAUUUCCCUUGGAGGAUCCACUUCUACUGAUGGCAUUGACAUCAACACAGAGCAACUAUCCUAUUUCCCAGUUGUCUCAAUAGCUGAGACGUUGCUGGAAAAAUGCAUGAAUUCUUCUAGCUUAAGUUAAUUCGUGGUUAUGUACUUCACCAUUCCCUUUAUAUUCCUCUUAUUUCUUCACUGGGAGCGGGGUCUGUUUCUUUAUGUGGCCCUUAGGGUCAGCGCUGCACUUUCUGCUCAAGGAAUACUCUUAUACACUGUUUGGAUUUCCAGAGUGUAAUGUGACAGAGCUUUCCAGCAC